GACAGGGGCCAGCGGGUUGGCUAGAACGCCUUGCAACUAUGUUAAUGACUUUGGCCAAGUAACGUUUGAAGUUCAACUGAGCCAGAAUGGACAGAGACGAGUGCUACUGAAGUGGAAAUGUCUUAUAUCCUGUUUUGUGAUUCCCUGCCUCAGAGCUGAGUCACCCCUGCCUGAAGAAAGGAUCCUUCAUCCCAAGGCUCACUCACUUCCUAUCCAAGCCAUCUCAAGCUAAAGGCAAAAGAACCAAGGAACCCCUCCUGCACCUGGACCUGAAGAUGAAGGGCUAUAAUCCCAGCUUCUCAGAAGGACAAGGCAGGAGGAGUUCCAGGUCACUCUGGGAAAUCUAGAGACUCUCAAAAAAAAAAAAAAAAAAAAAAAAAAAAAAAAAAAAAAAAAAGGAUUGGAAACUUCAAGGAGUCAUAGUACAAUGGAUAACCUUCUCAGUGCACAUGGAUCCCGUGCCCUAGCACCCAAUAGGUAGAUCUCCUGCUUGUCUGUUCCCUAGUAUCCAAUACUGGCAAGAGAGGCAAAGGCCCCCACCUCCUCUGCCUCUCUCCUCACUCCCAUUCCUGACUCAGAGUCCCAGGUUGGUUAAGAACCCCCUAGCCCCACAGGCAGCUGUCCUUUGCACUUAGCCAAGCAAGGUGGGGUGGGCAUGACCCCCAUUCUGACUUGUACUUCCUCUCUCUGUUGCCAGGCUUCUAGUUGGCAUUGCUCACCUGCCACUUCCUCCAUUCCAACCAUCUCUCUUCACUCUGAAACCCAAAGCCUGCUCAAGACCCAGUUGGUUCAGAGCUCAGGUUCAUGUGCCUUGGGAGAGGGUUCUAUUAGUCUGGAAAAUGAGUGGAGCCAGAAGACAAGAAACUGGCGGGGGGGGGGGGGGGAUUGGGGGAAGGGAAGACGACCGAGGAGCCCCCCCUUCUCUCUACCCCAUCCCAUGAUUUCCUUUGUCUCCUGUCCCAAUCCCAACCCAUCUCCCCACCCCCAGCCUAUGAGCCUGGAGGCUUCCCAAUAAAACAGUAUUGUAACC
rnacentral:lncRNA from 1 species